AUGUUAGCGGCGGACGGGUGAGUAACACGUGGAUAACCUACCUAUAAGACUGGGAUAACUUCGGGAAACCGGAGCUAAUACCGGAUAAUAUUUUUAACCGCAUGGUUCAAAAGUAAAAGACGGUCUUGCUGUCACUUAUAGAUGGAUCCGCGCUGCAUUAGCUAGUUGGUAAGGUAACGGCUUACCAAGGCAACGAUGCGUAGCCGACCUGAGGGGGUGAUCGGCCACACUGGAACUGAGACACGGUCCAG
rnacentral:rRNA from 1 species